CAGUCGCCACGGGAAUACGUAGGGUGCGAGCGUUAAUCGGAAUUACUGGGCGUAAAGCGUGCGCAGGCGGUUUUGUAAGACAGGCGUGAAAUCCCCGGGCUCAACCUGGGAAUGGCGCUUGUGACUGCAAAGCUAGAGUGCGGCAGAGGGGGAUGGAAUUCCGCGUGUAGCAGUGGAAUGCGUAGAUAUGCGGAGGAACACCGAUGGCGAAGGCAAUCCCCUGGGCCUGCACUGACGCUCAUGCACGAAAGCGUGGGGAGCAAACAGGAUUAGAUACCCCCGUAGUCCCUGUCUCUUAUAC
rnacentral:rRNA from 1 species